GGGCACCCCCCUCGCGUCGAGAACAGCAGUGUUACAGGUGUGGGGAAAAUACAUAAGACUGCAGUGAAGCGAUGUACCAGAUUAAUCCCUGGCCAAAGAACAGUUCUCCACAGUCGCUGUCCACAUGGGUCAGUGGGACCAAGAAGCACUCUGCUAAUGUGUGGACUCUGACCAGCAACAUCCAGCAAGACCCAGACACCGUUUUCUAUCUCCCAGCUGGAGUUUUUUGUUUGUGACUGGAGAGUCAGAUUUUUGUUGAAGCUGGAGGAACAGCCUCACACUUGCAGAGGUAAGUCAGUUUGUAGAGAUCCCUCCCACCCUGGCUUUUAUGUGCUAGAUUUUCUUAUCUGAAACAGUAACACUUCAGUGACUGCUGCCUAUACCACACGCUACUGAUCCCUGAUGGGAGAAUCAUCACCUCUGGCAACAAAGAAGCCUGCUGGAUAUUUGUUUACAAUCUGAUUAUGGGACAUCAUGCUCUGUAUCUUCAAAGUUUGUCUCUUGAUUAUUAUUCAUACACAGUAAUGUGAAGCAUGCUUAUAUCUAGUAUAACUGGACCAACCUAGUGCUCUUCAUUUAUGGAGGCUGUUGAGUCUGAAUGUUGGAUGUUGUGUAUCUCGUGUUCUCUGGGCUUUGCUGUCCUCAGUCUUUUUGCAGGAUCAGAAAACAAAACUAGGAGACCUGUAAAUGUUUCUUCCUCAACUGGAUGAUGAUAAGACUGUGACACGGGAUGCCACCUUUAGUCUUGUGAUGAAGCAAAGCUCAGGAAGAAGUGCGAUUAAAUGGUACCCACAUGUGUGCUGCUGAGAAGGAUGUACAGGGGCACAUGCAGCCAAAUCCAAGCCUCCUCAGGAGUGUUUCUGAGUGAGGGAGAGAGGAGUCAUCAUCCAGGUAAAGUGACGUGGAUCAGUUGUCUCCCCUUUACAGGAGACAAUCCGAGUCAUCCUUAAAUAUGGGCAGGAUAUCAGUCUUGGACUGUCUGACCUGCAGCACUGAAUGAUCACCACACAUGAGCAUGUUCCUGCAACAUUCAGCAGCUUUGUUUUUGUGUCAAAUGUCAAACAGCUGGAGAGGAAACUACACCAGUACUGGGUUGUUUAACCAACACGUGCCAGAUGCUGUUUCUUCAUGGUUUCAUCGCCAGAGACAGCCCCGCCCACCUCAGGACCUCGCCAUUGAUCAUGAUGAUUAUAAUGAUGACAGCGAGUAGAACUAAGACUGUAAAAAUCCACGACCAGAAUGUUUAGAUGCUUUCUAAUUAUUAAUGAAUACUGAGAGCCUCUUUCUGUGUUUUGUCUGUUUUGGGGUUUUUUUUUUUUUACCUCAUUUGUUACUAACAAAGUUCACCAAACUCACACAGUUUACAUUCUGUAUGUUUCCAUCUUUACCAGCCACACUCUAACUGCAUUUAAGAAAAUAAUCCUUAGAAAUCAUUGUUUUUCUCUUUUGUAAUUGAUGAUAAUUCAGUGAAUAUACUGCGCUGCUUCCUUUUAUUGCAUCACACAUUGCUUUAAGUUUUUCAGUGUUCAGU